UCCGUAGGUGGCAAGCGUUGUCCGGAAUUAUUGGGCGUAAAGCGCGCGCAGGUGGUUUCUUAAGUCUGAUGUGAAAGCCCACGGCUCAACCGUGGAGGGUCAUUGGAAACUGGGGAACUUGAGUGCAGAAGAGGAAAGUGGAAUUCCAAGUGUAGCGGUGAAAUGCGUAGAGAUUUGGAGGAACACCAGUGGCGAAGGCGACUUUCUGGUCUGUAACUGACACUGAGGCGCGAAAGCGUGGGGAGCGAACAGG
rnacentral:rRNA from 1 species